rnacentral:rRNA from 1 species
CACGUAGGGGGCGAGCGUUGUCCGGAUUUAUUGGGCGUAAAGAGCUCGUAGGCGGCUUGUCGCGUCGACUGUGAAAACCCGCGGCUCAACUGCGGGCCUGCAGCCGAUACGGGCAGGCUAGAGUUCGGUAGGGGAGACUGGAAUUCCUGGUGUAGCGGUGAAAUGCGUAGAUAUCAGGAGGAACACCGGUGGCGAAGGCGGCUAUCUGGACAGAGUCUGACGCUGAGGCACGAAAGCGUGGGGAGCAAACGGG